AUCCUUGACCACGCUUUGAGCUA
rnacentral:siRNA from 1 species